AUACGGAGGGUGCAAGUGUUAAUCGGAAUUACUGGGCGUAAAGGGCGCGUAGGCGGUCUAUCAAGUCAGGUGUGAAAUCCCACGGCUCAACCGUGGAGGUGCAUCUGAAACUGAUAGACUUGAGUAUGGGAGAGGAAAGUGGAAUUCCCGGUGUAGAGGUGAAAUUCGUAGAUAUCGGGAGGAACACCAGUGGCGAAGGCGAAUUUCUGGACGAUACCUGACACUGAGGCACGAAAGCUGGGGGAGCAAACAGGAUUAGAAACCCGAGUAGUCC
rnacentral:rRNA from 1 species